GCCUGGGUGGCUCAGUUGGUUGAGCGUCUGACUUUGGCUCAGGUCACGAUCUCGAGGCUCAUGAGUUCGAGCCCCAUGUCAGGCU
rnacentral:tRNA from 1 species